AGCCCGGAUGAUCUCCGAUGAAUCAUCGUUCGGUAUUGAUGGGCCGUGGAAUUGUCACAACGUCCACCACUGGAGCGCAGAAAACCCCCACGUCGUUUCCAUUGGUCAUGCGCAGCGACGAAUUCAGCGAAUCAAUUUGUGGGCUGGAAUAUACGGCAAUAUUUUGAUUGGGCCAUACCAACUCCCGCAGACGCUGACGGCGGCCACAUAUACCAGAUUCCUCCGGACCAAACUGAGGAGACUUUGUCUCCGUUCAGGAAUGGCUCCGGAGGAAUUCGACAAUGCCUGGUUUCAGCAGGAUGGUGCUCCGGCGCAUACAAGCGCUGCAGCACGAGAGGACCUGGCUCGCCUUUUUGGAGAGUGUGAUUGGACGUGGCGGUCGCCAAGGUUGGCCCCCACGUUCGCUCGACCUCAACCCUUUGGAUUUUUUCCUGUGGGGUCAUAUUAAAACCCACACAUAUCGACAAGAAAUCCGAGAUCGCGCCCAUCUCGAGGAGAGGAUUGAGGAAGUGCUACGUACCGUCACCCCUGAGAUGCUGCAGCUAAUACUUUAGCUCGAUACCGCUGCUGCAUCGAAACAGGUUACGUGGACACGUAACAGGCAGUUACGUGGAACACCUCAUGAAUUCAAACGAGGAACAGGGUGACAGAGGAAAACAGGGAGAGGGGGACGAAAACGAAAUGACUCAAGACCCAAUCGUUGAAAGUGGAAUUCACUCUUCGCCAUGAUCAAUCACUUUGCUAUUUCAUACAUUUAUGAUCAUACAAUUAAUGAUGUUUUAAAAAUUUCUAUGUUUGUGUUUGUGUGUGUUUUAAAUUAUUUCUCUUCCCGUGAGAGAAUAAAAAUAACGAAAAAAUGUUUUUUGUUGCUCUCAUAAAGUAGCAACUCUUUAGC